UACCGAUCUAUUUUCAUUGACGUAGUCUCUCAACAGAUAUCACGAUGAUUGCUUUAUUUAGUCAACAGCUUGCUAAUUUAAAAUUACUGUGGUUAUUGUAAUAGUUGGUCGUCAAUUGAAGAUGACGCGAUCCCGUUUUGCCAUCGAACAGGAAGGCGGCCUCGACUUAUCGACACAACCGAGAUCCAGCAGGAUACGAAGCGUUCCCGACGAGUCUGAGCUCUUUGGUGAUGGCCGUUGCUAUAGCAACCGUCUCGUCUCUCCCGGCACUCUUCAAUCUGUUCCUCUGACGUCACGGGACAUCGAUAUUCUGGCUCAUGUUUUUUAUGCAUCUAGUCACUGACUAAACUUUUCUAGUCUAAAACUAGCACUCUUGGUUGGUCAGAUGAUUGUUUGCAAAAAAAUCGCACAUUCAAUUUAAACUUAGUUGAAAAUAAGACAAAACCUGUUUACUGAUACUAUUAUUGAAUAAGAAGAAGUUAAAAUAGAAAAUUGAAUCAACACACAAAAUGCUUCAGAUUUAUUCUGUGGUGUUUGUUGAUCUGUUUAAGACAUUGGUAAAAGA